CCUACGGGAGGCUGCAGUGGGGAAUAUUGGACAAUGGGCGAAAGCCUGAUCCAGCCAUGCCGCGUGUGUGAAGAAGGCCUUCGGGUUGUAAAGCACUUUCAGUGGGGAAGAAAGCCUUGGGGCUAAUACCCUCGAGGAAGGACAUCACCCACAGAAGAAGCACCGGCUAACUCCGUGCCAGCAGCCGCGGUAAUACGGAGGGUGCGAGCGUUAAUCGGAAUUACUGGGCGUAAAGCGCGCGUAGGCGGUCUGAUAAGCCGGUUGUGAAAGCCCCGGGCUCAACCUGGGAACGGCAUCCGGAACUGUCAGGCUAGAGUGCAGGAGAGGAAGGUAGAAUUCCCGGUGUAGCGGUGAAAUGCGUAGAGAUCGGGAGGAAUACCAGUGGCGAAGGCGGCCUUCUGGACUGGCACUGACGCUGAGGUGCGAAAGCGUGGGUAGCAAACAGGAUUAGAUACCCCAGUAGUC
rnacentral:rRNA from 1 species